GAUGAAGAACGCAGCGAAAUGCGAUACGUAAUGUGAAUUGCAGAAUUCAGUGAAUCAUCGAAUCUUUGAACGCACCUUGCGCUCCUUGGUAUUCCGAGGAGCAUGCCUGUUUGAGUGUCAUUAAUAUAUCAACCUUCUCUUUUUUGAGUUGUUUGGAUGUGGGGGUUUGCUGGCCUCUUAAAUGAUUCAGCUCCCCUGAAAUGCAUUAGCAGAACAACCUGUUCAUUGGCGUGAUAAUUAUCUAUGCUAUUGAAUGUGAGGGCAGUUCAGCUUUCUAACCGUCCUUGGACAAUUCAUCAUUAAUGUGACCUCAAAUCAGGUAGGACUACCCGCUGAACUUAAGCAUAUCAAUAAGCGGAGGA
rnacentral:misc_RNA from 1 species